UACGAAGGGGGCUAGCGUUGUUCGGAUUUACUGGGCGUAAAGCGCACGUAGGCGGAUCGUUAAGUCGGGGGUGAAAUCCUGGAGCUCAACUCCAGAACUGCCUUUGAUACUGGCGAUCUCGAGUCCGGGAGAGGUGAGUGGAACUGCGAGUGUAGAGGUGAAAUUCGUAGAUAUUCGCAAGAACACCAGUGGCGAAGGCGGCUCACUGGCCCGGUACUGACGGCUGAGGUGCGAAAGCGUGGGGA
rnacentral:rRNA from 1 species